GAAAUGCGAUAAGUAAUGUGAAUUGCAGAAUUCAGUGAAUCAUCGAAUCUUUGAACGCAACUUGCGCCCUUUGGUAUUCCGAAGGGCACGCCUGUUUGAGUGUCGUGAACUCCUCCACUCGUCUACUUUUGUAGUCAAGCUGGGACUUGGGGGUUUUUGUGGGUGGUAUUCUCCUCCCACUCCCCUUGAAUACAUUAGUGAAGGACCCAUAUGGUUGGGGCCCCUCGGUGUGAUAAUAGACCAUCUACAUCGUAGGGCCUAACCUUUCAACGGGACUUUUGCUUCCAACCGUCCUCGGACAACUUUGUUUUUCGAACUUGACCUCAAAUCAGGUGGGACUACCCGCUGAACUUAA
rnacentral:misc_RNA from 1 species